rnacentral:rRNA from 1 species
UACGAAGGGUGCAAACGUUGCUCGGAAUUAUUGGGCGUAAAGCGCACGUAGGCGGCUUGGCAAGUCGGAUGUGAAAUCCCUCGGCUCAACCAAGGAAGUGCAUCCGAAACUGCUGAGCUUGAGUACUUAAGAGGAUCGCGGAAUUCCCGGUGUAGCGGUGAAAUGCAUAGAUAGCAUCCAGAACACCGAUUGCGUAGGCAGCUUACUAGGCUGUAACUGACGCUGAGGCACGAAAGCGUGGGGAGCGAACAGG